rnacentral:rRNA from 1 species
GUGGGUAACCUGCCUCAAAGUGGGGGAUAGCCUUCCGAAAGGAAGAUUAAUACCGCAUAACAUAAGAGAAUCGCAUGAUUUUCUUAUCAAAGAUUUAUUGCUUUGAGAUGGACCCGCGGCGCAUUAGCUAGUUGGUAAGGUAACGGCUUACCAAGGCAACGAUGCGUAGCCGACCUGAGAGGGUGAUCGGCCACAUUGGAACUGAGACACGGUCCAGACUCCUACGGGAGGCAGCAGUGGGGAAUAUUGCGCAAUGGGGGAAACCCUGACGCAGCAACGCCGCGUGGGUGAUGAAGGUCUUCGGAUUGUAAAGCCCUGUUUUCUGGGACGAUAAUGACGGUACCAGAGGAGGAAGCCACGGCUAACUACGUGCCAGCAGCCGCGGUAAUACGUAGGUGGCGAGCGUUGUCCGGAUUUACUGGGCGUAAAGGGUGCGUAGGCGGAUGUUUAAGUGGGAUGUGAAAUCCCCGGGCUUAACCUGGGGGCUGCAUUCCAAACUGGAUAUCUAGAGUGCAGGAGAGGAAAGCGGAAUUCCUAGUGUAGCGGUGAAAUGCGUAGAGAUUAGGAAGAACACCAGUGGCGAAGGCGGCUUUCUGGACUGUAACUGACGCUGAGGCACGAAAGCGUGGGUAGCAAACAGGAUUAGAUACCCUGGUAGUCCACGCCGUAAACGAUGGAUACUAGGUGUAGGGGGUAUCAACUCCCCCUGUGCCGCAGUUAACACAAUAAGUAUCCCGCCUGGGGGAGUACGGUCGCAAGAUUAAAACUCAAAGGAAUUGACGGGGGGCCCGCACAAGCAGCGGAGCAUGUGGUUUAAUUUCGAAGCAACGCGAAGAACCUUACCUGGACUUGACAUCCCUUGCAUAGCCUAGAGAUAGGUGAAGCCCUUCGGGGCAAAGGAGACAGGUGGUGGCAUGGGUUUGUCGUCAGCUCGUGUCGUGAGAUGUUUAGGUUAAGGUCCCUGCAACGAGCGGCAAACCCUUGAUUAAUUAGUGCCUACCCAUUAAGGUUUGAGCCACUCUAUGCAGACCUG